UGGAGUUCGGAUAGAUCAGACUCUUCGUUGGCCUCGUUUUUAGGUGUUUGAUCCGUGACGUUUCGUCGAAAAAUCACAAGCGCGCAUGCCGUAGGUGUUUGCCUGGUUGCAAGAUCUUGCCGAUUUCAACGUUUUUCCACCUCUUCGGUUGGCGUACGCUGAACUGGACCCUCGCAGCAAGAAUGGCACGUGGGACUGCCUCUGCGAACCCCGCUCCUGGACAACAGCUGGGAGGCUCUGUGUUUAAACGCGUGCACCUUGGACGUCAUGCUCCUGCCUCUGCAAGCCCUUUUGCUGGACGCCAUUGAAGGCCCUCCACUCGAAAGUGUGCACCUUAGACUACACGCUCAUCAAUACCAAGUUCUCUGUCCUUCUCGGCAUGAUUGUAGUGCCAUAUAAUAGUGAGGCAAUAAAUCAUUUUUGCUGGUCA